rnacentral:tRNA from 1 species
GCGGGCGUGGCGGAACCGGUAGACGCGCGGGUCUCAAAAACCCGUUCCGCAAGGAGUGCCGGUUCGAUUCCGGCCGCCCGCACCA